GACCAUCGAGUCUUUGAACGCAAGUUGCGCCCGAAGCCGUCUGGCCGAGGGCACGUCUGCCUGGGCGUCACGCAUCGCGUCGCCCCCC
rnacentral:rRNA from 1 species